GGUUAAGCGACUAAGCGUACACGGUGGAUGCCCUGGCAGUCAGAGGCGAUGAAGGACGUGCUAAUCUGCGAUAAGCGUCGGUAAGGUGAUAUGAACCGUUAUAACCGGCGAUUUCCGAAUGGGGAAACCCAGUGUGAUUCGUCACACUAUCAUUAACUGAAUCCAUAGGUUAAUGAGGCGAACCGGGGGAACUGAAACAUCUAAGUACCCCGAGGAAAAGAAAUCAACCGAGAUUCCCCCAGUAGCGGCGAGCGAACGGGGAGCAGCCCAGAGCCUGAAUCAGUGUGUGUGUUAGUGGAAGCGUCUGGAAAGGCGCGCGAUACAGGGUGACAGCCCCGUACACAAAAAUGCACAUACUGUGAGCUCGAUGAGUAGGGCGGGACACGUGGUAUCCUGUCUGAAUAUGGGGGGACCAUCCUCCAAGGCUAAAUACUCCUGACUGACCGAUAGUGAACCAGUACCGUGAGGGAAAGGCGAAAAGAACCCCGGCGAGGGGAGUGAAAAAGAACCUGAAACCGUGUACGUACAAGCAGUGGGAGCACGCUUCGGCGUGUGACUGCGUACCUUUUGUAUAAUGGGUCAGCGACUUAUAUUCUGUAGCAAGGUUAACCGAAUAGGGGAGCCGAAGGGAAACCGAGUCUUAACUGGGCGUUAAGUUGCAGGGUAUAGACCCGAAACCCGGUGAUCUAGCCAUGGGCAGGUUGAAGGUUGGGUAACACUAACUGGAGGACCGAACCGACUAAUGUUGAAAAAUUAGCGGAUGACUUGUGGCUGGGGGUGAAAGGCCAAUCAAACCGGGAGAUAGCUGGUUCUCCCCGAAAGCUAUUUAGGUAGCGCCUCGUGAAUUCAUCUCCGGGGGUAGAGCACUGUUUCGGCAAGGGGGUCAUCCCGACUUACCAACCCGAUGCAAACUGCGAAUACCGGAGAAUGUUAUCACGGGAGACACACGGCGGGUGCUAACGUCCGUCGUGAAGAGGGAAACAACCCAGACCGCCAGCUAAGGUCCCAAAGUCAUGGUUAAGUGGGAAACGAUGUGGGAAGGCCCAGACAGCCAGGAUGUUGGCUUAGAAGCAGCCAUCAUUUAAAGAAAGCGUAAUAGCUCACUGGUCGAGUCGGCCUGCGCGGAAGAUGUAACGGGGCUAAACCAUGCACCGAAGCUGCGGCAGCGACACUAUGUGUUGUUGGGUAGGGGAGCGUUCUGUAAGCCUGUGAAGGUGUGCUGUGAGGCAUGCUGGAGGUAUCAGAAGUGCGAAUGCUGACAUAAGUAACGAUAAAGCGGGUGAAAAGCCCGCUCGCCGGAAGACCAAGGGUUCCUGUCCAACGUUAAUCGGGGCAGGGUGAGUCGACCCCUAAGGCGAGGCCGAAAGGCGUAGUCGAUGGGAAACAGGUUAAUAUUCCUGUACUUGGUGUUACUGCGAAGGGGGGACGGAGAAGGCUAUGUUGGCCGGGCGACGGUUGUCCCGGUUUAAGCGUGUAGGCUGGUUUUCCAGGCAAAUCCGGAAAAUCAAGGCUGAGGCGUGAUGACGAGGCACUACGGUGCUGAAGCAACAAAUGCCCUGCUUCCAGGAAAAGCCUCUAAGCAUCAGGUAACAUCAAAUCGUACCCCAAACCGACACAGGUGGUCAGGUAGAGAAUACCAAGGCGCUUGAGAGAACUCGGGUGAAGGAACUAGGCAAAAUGGUGCCGUAACUUCGGGAGAAGGCACGCUGAUAUGUAGGUGAAGCGACUUGCUCGUGGAGCUGAAAUCAGUCGAAGAUACCAGCUGGCUGCAACUGUUUAUUAAAAACACAGCACUGUGCAAACACGAAAGUGGACGUAUACGGUGUGACGCCUGCCCGGUGCCGGAAGGUUAAUUGAUGGGGUCAGCGCAAGCGAAGCUCUUGAUCGAAGCCCCGGUAAACGGCGGCCGUAACUAUAACGGUCCUAAGGUAGCGAAAUUCCUUGUCGGGUAAGUUCCGACCUGCACGAAUGGCGUAAUGAUGGCCAGGCUGUCUCCACCCGAGACUCAGUGAAAUUGAACUCGCUGUGAAGAUGCAGUGUACCCGCGGCAAGACGGAAAGACCCCGUGAACCUUUACUAUAGCUUGACACUGAACAUUGAGCCUUGAUGUGUAGGAUAGGUGGGAGGCUUUGAAGUGUGGACGCCAGUCUGCAUGGAGCCGACCUUGAAAUACCACCCUUUAAUGUUUGAUGUUCUAACGUUGGCCCCUGAUCGGGGUUGCGGACAGUGUCUGGUGGGUAGUUUGACUGGGGCGGUCUCCUCCUAAAGAGUAACGGAGGAGCACGAAGGUUGGCUAAUCCUGGUCGGACAUCAGGAGGUUAGUGCAAUGGCAUAAGCCAGCUUGACUGCGAGCGUGACGGCGCGAGCAGGUGCGAAAGCAGGUCAUAGUGAUCCGGUGGUUCUGAAUGGAAGGGCCAUCGCUCAACGGAUAAAAGGUACUCCGGGGAUAACAGGCUGAUACCGCCCAAGAGUUCAUAUCGACGGCGGUGUUUGGCACCUCGAUGUCGGCUCAUCACAUCCUGGGGCUGAAGUAGGUCCCAAGGGUAUGGCUGUUCGCCAUUUAAAGUGGUACGCGAGCUGGGUUUAGAACGUCGUGAGACAGUUCGGUCCCUAUCUGCCGUGGGCGCUGGAGAACUGAGGGGGGCUGCUCCUAGUACGAGAGGACCGGAGUGGACGCAUCACUGGUGUUCGGGUUGUCAUGCCAAUGGCACUGCCCGGUAGCUAAAUGCGGAAGAGAUAAGUGCUGAAAGCAUCUAAGCACGAAACUUGCCCCGAGAUGAGUUCUCCCUGACUCCCUGAGAGUCCUGAAGGAACGUUGAAGACGACGACGUUGAUAGGCCGGGUGUGUAAGCGCAGCGAUGCGUUGAGCUAACCGGUACUAAUGAACCGUGAGGCUUAACCUU
rnacentral:rRNA from 1 species